AUACGGAGGAUGCGAGCGUUAUCCGGAUUUAUUGGGUUUAAAGGGAGCGUAGGCGGGAGCUUAAGUCAGCGGUUAAAUGGUGCGGCUCAACCGUGCCCUGCCGUUGAAACUGGGUUUCUUGAGAGUGCAAGAGGCGGAUGGAAUUAAUGGUGGAGCGGUGAAAUGCUUUGAUAUCAUGAAGAACUCCGAUUGCGAAGGCAGUCCGCUGGGGCACGUCUGACGCUGAUGCUCGAAGGUGCGGGAAUCAAACAGGAUUAGAUACCCUGGUAGUCCGCACGGUAAACGAUGAUUACCCGCUGUCGGCGGUAGACAGUCGGCGGCCAAGCGAAAGCGAUAAGUAAUCCACCUGGGGAGUACGCCGGCAACGGUGAAACUCAAAUGAAUUGACGGGG
rnacentral:rRNA from 1 species